rnacentral:rRNA from 1 species
UACGUAGGGGGCAAGCGUUGUCCGGAAUUAUUGGGCGUAAAGCGCGCGCAGGCGGUCAUUUAAGUCUGGUGUUUAAUCCCGGGGCUCAACCCCGGGUCGCACUGGAAACUGGAUGACUUGAGUACAGAAGAGGAGAGUGGAAUUCCACGUGUAGCGGUGAAAUGCGUAGAUAUGGUGGAGGAACACCAGUGGCGAAGGCGACUCUCUGGGCUGUAACUGACGCUGAGGCGCGAAAGCGUGGGGAGCGAACAGG